AUUGAACGCUGGCGGCAUGCCUUACACAUGCAAGUCGAACGGUAACAGGUCUUCGGAUGCUGACGAGUGGCGAACGGGUGAGUAAUACAUCGGAACGUGCCCGAUCGUGGGGGAUAACGAGGCGAAAGCUUUGCUAAUACCGCAUACGAUCUACGGAUGAAAGCGGGGGAUCUUCGGACCUCGCGCGGACGGAGCGGCCGAUGGCAGAUUAGGUCGUUGGUGGGAUAAAAGCUUACCAAGCCGACGAUCUGUAGCUGGUCGGAGAGGAUGAUCAGCCACACUGGAACUGCGACACGGCCCAGACUCCUACGGGAGGCAGCAGUGGGGAAUUUUGGACAAUGGGCGAAAGCCUGAUCCAGCCAUGCCGCGUGCAGGAUGAAGGCCUUCGGGUUGUAAACUGCUUUUGUACGGAACGAAAAGCCUCUUUCUAAUACAGAGGGGUCAUGACGGUACCGUAAGAAUAAGCACCGGCUAACUACGUG
rnacentral:rRNA from 1 species